rnacentral:misc_RNA from 1 species
GGUGGCCGCCCCGGGCACGGAGUUCGAUUGAGGG